rnacentral:rRNA from 1 species
AUACGGAGGGUGCAAGCGUUACUCGGAAUCACUGGGCGUAAAGCGCGCGCAGGCGGCUAUUUAAGUUGGAUGUGAAAGCCUACGGCUCAACCGUAGAACUGCAUCCAAAACUAUUUAGCUAGAGUGUGGGAGAGGAAGAUGGAAUUAGUUGUGUAGGGGUAAAAUCCGUAGAGAUAACUAGGAAUACCAAAAGCGAAGGCAAUCUUCUGGAACACUACUGACGCUGAGGCGCGAAAGCGUGGGGAGCAAACGGGAUUAGAAACCCCAGUAGUCC